rnacentral:rRNA from 1 species
UACGUAGGUGGCAAGCGUUGUCCGGAUUUACUGGGCGUAAAGAGCGCGUAGGCGGUCGAUUUAGUCGCGUGUGAAAGCCCCCGGCUCAACUGGGGAGGGUCACGCGAUACUGAUCGACUCGAAGGCAGGAGAGGGUAGUGGAAUUCCCGGUGUAGUGGUGAAAUGCGUAGAUAUCGGGAGGAACACCAGUGGCGAAGGCGACUACCUGGCCUGUUCUUGACGCUGAGGCGCGAAAGCUAGGGGAGCAAACGGG